rnacentral:rRNA from 1 species
CAACAGGUUGAUAUUCCUGUACUACCGAUAACCGUUUGAGAGAAGGGAUGACACAGUAGGAUAAGCUAAGCACACUGUUGGUUAUGUGUGCCCAAGCAUUGAGGCGGUCAAAGUAGGCAAAUCCGCUUUGAUAAUGCUGGGAUGUGAUGGGGAGCGAAAUUUAGUAGCGAAGUAGCUGAUUUCACACUGUCAAGAAAAGUCUCUA